rnacentral:rRNA from 1 species
AUUGAACGCUGGCGGCAGGCCUAACACAUGCAAGUCGAGCGAGCGGCGGACGGGUGAGUCAUGUAUGGGGACUGCCCGAUAGAGGGGGAUAACUACUGGAAACGGUGGCUAAUACCGCAUAAUAUCGGAUAACACAUAUGGGAUUAGCUUGUAGGUGGGGUAAAGGCUCACCUAGGCGACGAUCUCUAGCUGGUCUGAGAGGAUGAUCAGCCAAACGGGAACGGAGACACGGCCCAGAUUCCUACGGAGGAAGCAGUGGGGAAUAUUGCACAAGGGGCGCAAGCCUGAUGCAGCCAUGCGGCGUGUGUGAAGAAGGCCUUAGGGUUGUAAAGUACUUUCAGCGAGGAGGCGUUACUCGCAGAAGAAGCACCGGCUAACUCCGUGCCAGCAGCCGCGGUAAUAC